rnacentral:tRNA from 1 species
UGCUUUAUAGGAUAAUAAUUAAUCUGUCGUUUUUAGGAGACGGAGAUGUAGAUACUGAAGCUAG